CCUGAUCCAGCCAUGCCGCGUGUGUGAAGAAGGCCUUUUGGUUGUAAAGCACUUUAAGCGAGGAGGAGGCUACUUAGAUUAAUACUCUUGGAUAGUGGACGUUACUCGCAGAAUAAGCACCGGCUAACUCUGUGCCAGCAGCCGCGGUAAUACAGAGGGUGCGAGCGUUAAUCGGAUUUACUGGGCGUAAAGCGUGCGUAGGCGGCUUCUUAAGUCGGAUGUGAAAUCCCUGAGCUUAACUUAGGAAUUGCAUUCGAUACUGGGAAGCUAGAGUAUGGGAGAGGAUGGUAGAAUUCCAGGUGUAGCGGUGAAAUGCGUAGAGAUCUGGAGGAAUACCGAUGGCGAAGGCAGCCAUCUGGCCUAAUACUGACGCUGAGGUACGAAAGCAUGGGGAGCAAACAGGAUUAGAUACCCUGGUAGUCCAUGCCGUAAACGAUGUCUACUAGCCGUUGGGGCCUUUGAGGCUUUAGUGGCGCAGCUAACGCGAUAAGUAGACCGCCUGGGGAGUACGGUCGCAAGACUAAAACUCAAAUGAAUUGACGGGGGCCCGCACAAGCGGUGGAGCAUGUGGUUUAAUUCGAUGCAACGCGAAGAACCUUACCUGGUCUUGACAUAGUAAGAACUUUCCAGAGAUGGAUUGGUGCCUUCGGGAACUUACAUACAGGUGCUGCAUGGCUGUCGUCAGCUCGUGUCGUGAGAUGUUGGGUUAAGUCCCGCAACGAGCGCAACCCUUUUCCUUAUUUGCCAGCGGGUUAAGCCGGGAACUUUAA
rnacentral:rRNA from 1 species